rnacentral:misc_RNA from 1 species
GUGAAUCAUCGAAUCUUUGAACGCAAAUUGCACUCUCUUCGGAGAGUAUGCCUGUUUGAGGGUCAGUAUUAAUAAAAAUCGUUGUGUUGCUUCGUUGUAACUCUCCGGAUUUUGGGUCAUCUUAAUAUCCUUUAUGUUUUAAGAGGCUUAAAAUUGACUUUUUUUGCGCAUUUUAGAUGUACAUGAAUACUUUUUUUUUGUCUGCGUUGUUAAUGCUCAAAAU